CCUCAGCGAGUGACUGAUUGACUCUAUCUAUUUCUCAAAACAUUCUCUCUUGUAUAUGCAGCCAACAAACCAUCAAUGGUUUCGUAUAUGUGCAUGAAGGUUUUAUAAUUGAUGUACAAUGUGCUUCGAUUCUUGAGGGAUAUAUCCAGGAAAGUCAUCCUCAUGAGUCACUAUAUUUUAAACUGUCCAACAACUUGCUCAAGCUGCGAGCAAAAGAGAUCAAUUAUGCUUCAGUGUACUGGCGAAUGUGAAGACUUCUUGUUAUGCUUCGGCUCUGCUACUCUGCUCAAAUUGGUAAGGCACAUACAGGCACAGUCCGUAACGUUGGAGUCCCUAAAGAAAAAAUGAAGUUUAAUGCCCUCAUCAACAUUCGAAGCUGGCACAUGCGAGACAUAAGUAGUAGAAUUAAGCACUGCAAUAAAAUCUUCUUUUCAAAACUGAUGCCCUCUAAACCUUUAAUAUAUUUG
rnacentral:lncRNA from 1 species